UUGCAGCCAAUUAAGCCAACCACGGUCUUUUCCCCGUGGGGGGCCUAGCAUGCAAUGGCUGCAAACAGCAGCCUCCUCGGUAGUGUGUGCAGCCUGUUGCCGAUACGGGAUGCCCUAAGGGACCUUGGAGACAGCC
ensembl:snoRNA SNORA70 Small nucleolar RNA SNORA70